rnacentral:rRNA from 1 species
CCUACGGGAGGCUGCAGUAGGGAAUCUUCCACAAUGGGCGAAAGCCUGAUGGAGCAACGCCGCGUGGGUGACGAAGGUCUUCGGAUCGUAAAACCCUGUUGUUAGAGAAGAAAGUGCGUGAGAGUUACUGUUCACGUUUCGACGGUAUCUAAACAGAAAGCCACGGCUAACUACGUGCCAGCAGCCGCGGUAAUACGUAGGUGGCAAGCGUUAUCCGGUUUUAUUGGGCGUAAAGGGAACGCAGGCGGUCUUGUAAGUCUGAUGUGAAAGCCUUCGGCUUAACCGGAGUAGUGCAUUGGAAACUGGGAGACGUGAGUGCAGAAGAGGAGAGUGGAACUCCAUGUGUAGCGGUGAAAUGCGUAGACAUAUGGAAGAACACCAGUUGCGAAAGCGGCUCUCUGGUCUGUAACUGACGCUGAGGUUCGAAAGCGUGGGUAGCAAACAGGAUUAGAUACCCUAGUAGUC